GUCCAAAUUGCCCGUGAAAGUGGCCAAUCCUUCAUAUCAGGAAGAAUGUGCAGUUCCAAAGGUCCAGACCAAGUCAGAGGAGAAUGUUUCCUUACCAGGAAAACCUGCCACCUCAUAUGGCCUGAGGUCCAGGGUGCCUUUGGGAAAUGCAGCAAACAAACUGAACAACAACGCCAAAGGAAUUAAAACAAAUACCGGUGUUCACGUCAAACCAGCUCAACGUAAGCAGAGUGCUACUGAAAGAGUCCGUGUUGUUAUUUCAAAGGACGACAAGGAGAACACUGGGGCUGGCAACUGUGACC